rnacentral:rRNA from 1 species
CCGGAUUAAUACCGCAUACGCUCUGAGGAGGAAAGCGGGGGAUCUUUCGGGACCUCGCGCUCAAGGGCCGGCCGAUGGCAGAUUAGCUAGUUGGUGGGGUAAAGGCCUACCAAGGCGACGAUCUGUAGCUGGUCUGAGAGGACGACCAGCCACACUGGGACUGAGACACGGCCCAGACUCCUACGGGAGGCAGCAGUGGGGAAUUUUGGACAAUGGGCGCAAGCCUGAUCCAGCAAUGCCGCGUGUGUGAAGAAGGCCUUCGGGUUGUAAAGCACUUUUGUCCGGAAAGAAAUCCUUUGGGCUAAUACCCUGGGGGGAUGACGGUACCGGAAGAAUAAGCACCGGCUAACUACGUGCCAGCAGCCGCGGUAAUACGUAGGGUGCAAGCGUUAAUCGGAAUUACUGGGCGUAAAGCGUGCGCAGGCGGUUCGCUAAGACAGAUGUGAAAUCCCCGGGCUUAACCUGGGAACUGCAUUUGUGACUGGCGGGCUAGAGUAUGGCAGAGGGGGGUAGAAUUCCACGUGUAGCAGUGAAAUGCGUAGAGAUGUGGAGGAAUACCGAUGGCGAAGGCAGCCCCCUGGGCCAAUACUGACGCUCAUGCACGA